rnacentral:rRNA from 1 species
AACGAACGCUGGCGGCAUGCCUAACACAUGCAAGUCGAACGAUUGCCUUCUGGUGUUAGUGGCUCACGGGUGCGUAACGCGUUGGAAUCUGCCCUUAGAUUCGGAAUAACAGCUGGAAACGGCUGCUAAUACCGGAUGAUAUUGCGAGAUCAAAGAUUUGUCGCCUGAGGAUGAGCCCGCGUUGGUUUAGGUGGUUGGUGGGGGAAAGGCCUGCCAAGCCGACGAUUCAUAGCUGGUCUGAGCAGAGGAUAAGCCACACUGGGGCUGCGACACGGCCCAGUCCGGUACGCAGGGGAGGAGAGGGGAAUAUUGGGCAAUGAGCGCAAACCUGAUCCAGCCAUGCCGGGGAAGAGAGGAAGGGCGUAGGGUUGUAAAGCUCUUUUACCCGGGAAGAUAAUGACUGUACCGGGAGAAUAAGCACCGGCUAACUCCGUG